ACGAUCAGUUGCGCAGUCUGCCGCUCCGCCUGGCACCGACGGCCCCACUCGGCCAGUCGGUCCUUCCCCAGGCCCCCAGGGAACAUGACCACCAGCUCCAGGCCGUCUCCGCCCGGAUAGGCACAAGCCUGGCACAGCGCUGACAAGUAGCCCAGCAUGGCAUUCCACUGGCCGCCACAAACCCAAUCCGUCUGGUAGCCACCAUAGAGCCGCGGCAGCGCCGAGCCCGCGUCUACCAAUACCCGAGCCCCAGGCAGCGGAGGGGGCGGCGGCGGAUGCAGCCCUGGCGGCGCUUGGCCAUGGUGGUGGAAAUGGUGAGCAGGGUGAUGGUGCCGAGACGGCCCCGCGCCCCCGGAGUAAGCACCAAAGGCAGCGGGCGGGAGCGGCGGCGGCGGCAGAGGAGCAGAGCCCCUGGUGAUGCGUGGAGCCCCUGGCGCUAGGGCUGCUGGCGGCAGCUGGCGGUGCAGGUGCUGCUGCUGCUGCUGGCGCGAGACGGUGCGCGCGAGUUUGAGGAGGUCCACAGGCACCACAGCCCCGGGACAGCGCUUCUCCAGGAACUCUUGGAAGCCCUGGACGCCCAUGCUUCCUCCGUGGGUAGAAGGAACAGCGGCUGCGCAAGCGGGCCAGUCGGCGAUCCCCGCGCGAAGCUGGAGGCGGGCGCGUGCGCACUCCGCGGGGGGUAGGGGCGAGGGGGGCGGAGAGAGGGUUUGAGAACGGGAGGGGCGAGGGAACGUGGGCGGGGAGGGGAGGAGACCACAGACUGGGUGCGGGUGGAGAGCAGAGGUGAGGCUGACCAGACUCAGAAGAGGCUGGGAAGAUAAAAGCGAUGACAAAG
rnacentral:lncRNA from 1 species